UACGAAGGGGGCUAGCGUUGCUCGGAAUUACUGGGCGUAAAGCGCACGUAGGCGGCUUUCUAAGUCGGGGGUGAAAUCCUGGAGCUCAACUCCAGAACUGCCUUCGAUACUGGAGAGCUCGAGUCCGGGGAGAGGUGAGUGGAACUGCGAGUGUAGAGGUGAAAUUCGUAGAUAUUCGCAAGAACACCAGUGGCGAAGGCGGCAUCAGCUGGCCGGUGACUGACGCCUGAGGUGCGAAAGCGGUGGGGAGCAAACAGGG
rnacentral:rRNA from 1 species